rnacentral:piRNA from 1 species
GGGUUAUUAGUGACGAGAAGGCCUCG